rnacentral:rRNA from 1 species
UAUGGCCUACGGGGCGCAGCAGUGAGGAAUAUUGGUCAAUGGGCUUACGCCUGAACCAGCCAAGUCGCGUGAGGGAAGACUGCCCUAUGGGUUGUAAACCUCUUUUGUCAGGGAGCAACGCCGGCUACGUGUAGCCGGACUGAGAGUACCUGAAGAAAAAGCAUCGGCUAACUCCGUGCCAGCAGCCGCGGUAAUACGGAGGAUGCGAGCGUUAUCCGGAUUUACUGGGUGUAAAGGGGGCGCAGACGGCGAUGCAAGCCAGGAGUGAAAGCCCGGGGCCCAACCCCGGGACUGCUCUUGGAACU